rnacentral:rRNA from 1 species
GUGGGGAAUCUUAGACAAUGGGGGAAACCCUGAUCUAGCCAUGCCGCGUGAUCGAUGAAGGCCUUAGGGUUGUAAAGAUCUUUCAGCUGGGAAGAUAAUGACUGUACCAGCAGAAGAAGCCCCGGCUAACUUCGUGCCAGCAGCCGCGGUAAUACGAAGGGGGCUAGCGUUACUCGGAAUUACUGGGCGUAAAGGGCGCGUAGGCGGACCAGAAAGUUGGAGGUGAAAUCCCAGGGCUCAACCUUGGAACUGCCUUCAAAACUCCUGGUCUGGAGUUCGAGAGAGGUGAGUGGAAUUCCGAGUGUAGAGGUGAAAUUCGUAGAUAUUCGGAGGAACACCAGUGGCGAAGGCGGCUCACUGGCUCGAUACUGACGCUGAGGUGCGAAAGCGUGGGGAGCAAACAGGAUUAGAAACCCCAGUAGUCC